CACAAUUGAUGCAAAAGCAAGAGGAUUUUUAUUCUGUCAUGACAGGGCCCUUCAGGUUCAGGAUGGGAAGGACAACUGAUAGCUGUUACAGUCCAUCUUUUAAAGCAAAAAGCCACAGACACAAGGGGGAAAACUCCUUGCAGGAUUGACGCUGCUCAGACUUGGUAUAUCCCGUGACCCUCUCCUAGCCUAGGGUCAUGCUACAAGUGGUGGGUUCACUCCUCCUGCCAGACGUGUGCCCAGGCCAGCCCAUAAGGAGCUCUCCACAUACACCAGUCUCUACACCAGCUUCGUGGACACCAACCGGGC